rnacentral:rRNA from 1 species
UACGUAGGGGCCUAGCGUUGUCCGGAAUUAUUGGGCGUAAAGAGCUCGUAGGCGGUUCGGCAAGUCGGAUGUGAAAUCUCCACGCUUAACGUGGAGGGGCCAUUCGAAACUGCUGUGACUCGAGUCCGGUAGGGGAGUGUGGAAUUCCCGGUGUAGCGGUGAAAUGCGCAGAUAUCAGGAGGAACACCGGUGGCGAAGGCGGGUCUCUGGGCCGAUAUCGACGCUGAGGAGCGAAAGCGUGGGGAGCGAACAGG